rnacentral:lncRNA from 1 species
UUAUAUGUCACAUCCCGACCCUUAUAUUUUUACCUUAUUUACUAGCGUGAUUAUAAUAAGAAUUUUACCGUCUCGAUCAUUGAGUAAAUAGUUUAAUUGGUCCCUAGAGGGGUUUCGGGGACGAUUAUGUGCGGAGGAUUAUUAGUAUGAAGAAAAUACGACGACGGUAAAAAUAGUAAAUUUUAGCUAGUAAAAGGUAAUUUUUAUUCGGGUAUUAUUUUUCGGGGUGUUGAAUUUUGGAUUAAAAGGAGAGUUGGGUCGGCUGGGCCGAGCCCAACCCAUUUCUUCUUCCUUUCUCUCUCUCUUCCUCCCGAUUUUUCUUCUCUUCCCACCCGAUUUUCUUCUCUCUACACCCAGCAAACUUCCGGCCGUCCUCCCGCCGCCGUCCGACCUCCGUUCGCCGCCGGACCGGUCCCGUUCGGUCGGUCUCCCUCCCAGCAACAUUUCUAGACCGGUGAGAGGAGCUCUAGCGCCGCCGUGAGUGAGCGGUGCCGCCCGAAAGCUUCGACUGCCGAAUUGGUUUUUUCGCCGGAACUUCCUCCUCCGGCCACCAAUCCGGGCAAGCUUGGUAUGGUUUUGUAGCCCUCCAACCCAGCAACCUUGCCCUAAAAGGACUCACUCCCUCUUGAGCUAGGUAAGGAGAAAUUUGAAGUGGAAGUUUUAUGGUGUUUUUGAUAUUUUUAGUCGAUAGCCCUAGUUAGGCUUGGAAUUGGUGUUUGUGCUAGUUAUGAAAGUUGUAGAGCUUGAUGAGAGGAAGAUGCUGUUAAAAUUUCAUAGGUUUUGGAGGUCGCCGGAAUUGACCUCCGGCCGCCGCUGCCGGCGGAGCCGCCGGCGGCACCGCCGCCGGUUGGGAGAUUUUAAUGUUGUUAAAUUUGGAAUAUUAAGGGGAGUUUAUUGAAGUGAGUUAUGGAAUUUUUGGAUGAGUUUUGGAUAGGUUUAUGAAUUUCCGAAGUGUGGUAUUUUUGGCGGGUAAUUAAUGUAGAAUCCGGCCGUUAGAUUUAAGUCGUAUUUUGGAGAGGUUGUAUUUACGACUGUGGAGUAUGAUAUUUAAGUUCGGAUCGUCCGAUGUAAAAAUAUCGAAGUUAGGCAAUAAUGAGCGUAAUUAUGGCUCUCGGGUAAUUUUGCCUAUUUUGAUUAAAUAUUGGAUUAUUGGUUGGGAAAUUAAUAUUAUAUUUGGAACAGGACGUGAAGAGGCUCGAGCAGACGAGACCCCAGAUUGACAUCAGGCUUAGGCCUAAUUCGUGAGUGGACGUUUAUUUUAAAUAAAUGCAUGCUAUAGUUCAUGGUUGAACAAUUAAUAUUGCGGAAUAUUUUAACGUCAUUUUAAUUUGACGAUUUUUAUUUUCUUCUUGGUAGAGCUACCGAAAAUGGGAUUUUCGGUGGAUAUAAAUAUGUAUUUAUGAGAGAGUAUGUAU